rnacentral:rRNA from 1 species
GAAAGAGAAGCUUGCUUCUUUUUGAAUCUAGUGGCAAACGGGUGAGUAACACGUAAACAACCUGCCUUCAGGAUGGGGACAACAGACGGAAACGACUGCUAAUACCGAAUGUGUUCCGGAGACCGCAUGAUUUCCGGAAGAAAGGAUGGCCUCUAUUUAUAAGCUAUCGCCUGAAGAGGGGUUUGCGUCUGAUUAGGCAGUUGGUGAGGUAACGGCCCACCAAACCUACGAUCAGUAGCCGGUCUGAGAGGAUGAACGGCCACACUGGAACUGAGACACGGUCCAGACUCCUACGGGAGGCAGCAGUGGGGAAUCUUCCGCAAUGGACGAAAGUCUGACGGAGCAACGCCGCGUGAGUGAUGACGGCCUUCGGGUUGUAAAGCUCUGUGAUCGGGGACGAAUGGCUGGUAUGCUAAUACCAUAUCAGAGUGACGGUACCCGAAUAGCAAGCCACGGCUAACUACGUGCCAGCAGCCGCGGUAAUACGUAGGUGGCAAGCGUUGUCCGGAAUUAUUGGGCGUAAAGCGCGCGCAGGCGGCUUCUUAAGUCCAUCUUAAAAGUGCGGGGCUUAACCCCGUGAUGGGAUGGAAACUGGGAGGCUGGAGUAUCGGAGAGGAAAGUGGAAUUCCUAGUGUAGCGGUGAAAUGCGUAGAGAUUAGGAAGAACACCGG